UACGUAGGGAGCAAGCGUUAUCCGGAAUUAUUGGGUGUAAAGGGUGCGUAGACGGGAGAGCAAGUUGGUUGUGAAAUCCCCAGGCUUAACUUGGGAACUGCAACCGAAACUACUUUUCUUGAGUGCAGGAGAGGAAAGCGGAAUUCCUAGUGUAGCGGUGAAAUGCGUAGAUAUUAGGAGGAACACCGGUGGCGAAGGCGGCUUUCUGGACUGUAACUGACGUUGAGGCACGAAAGUGUGGGGAG
rnacentral:rRNA from 1 species